UCUAAUCAGUCAAUGCUGAGAGAGUGUUGCGGCGGUAACAAAAUUUUCAAAAUCGCUUUUCGUAGACUUUGCUUCAAAAUCGUUAAUUUAUUUGCGACAGAGUUUUUCAAAGUUAAACUUAAAUUACGUAUAAAAUACUGACGGAACAAAUGAACUGAACAAUAUUAUUGUUUGUGCUUAAUUCAAGAAAAAUUGUUUGAUGAUAAUUAUGCUUUAUACAGACGAACUGUAGUGUAACCUGCGGAAUUAGGCGAUUUAGCUUUGAAAAAUAUUUUCCGAUGUGUGAUAAUCGAAUACAAAUUAGUUACUUAAAUUGAGUCAACCAUUUAACUUGAUAAAAAUUAUUAAAAAAAUGGGCUGGAUAAGGAAGAAGUGCUUUGCCGUAAUGGUGGUUCUAUUAAAUUUAACAUUACUUGCACAUUGUCGCGACGAAUAUGCAAGAAAACAGUACGUUGAAUCAAGUGAUGUGAUAUCGUUCCCAGAAGAAGUUCCUACAAAUGUAAAGAAACAAGUCAACUACGAGUCCGAAAAUAUUUAUGAAAUGCCGUUGGAGAUGAUACAAAGAAUAAAUAGUUUAGAAAAUGUUACACAAUUCAUCGAUGAAUUCAUUUCGAAAGAGUCUGCUGAUCCUCGAGAGACAAUGCUGUUAGCUCGAUUUACCGAAGUCAUGGCCCAAGAAAGGAGUGCUGGUUUGACGCCACAACCAGCUCUGUGCACACCACAGUUAGCUGUGGUACCAUUAAAGCCAGAACACGAACCAGAAGAUCCUUCAGUAAUUUACUUUCCGUCUUGCACAAGAAUCAAACAAUGCGGUGGCUGCUGUACGCAUAAACUGUUAGAGUGUCAACCCAUCGAAACGGAAAUCAAAACAUUUGUGAUAAUCAAAUCACAAUACACCGGAAAUGCAAAGAUGCCGCUUAAAGAAAAGGUCCCAGUGGUGGUCGAAGAGCACACAAAAUGCAAAUGUGAUUGUAGGAUAAAGGAGAAUGACUGUAAACGUAAUCAAAUUUACAUCAAAUCACAAUGCAAGUGUGAAUGCACCAAUGUGGAUGAUCACAAUAAAUGCUUAUCGGAAACCUCAAAGAUUUGGGACUCCGAUGACUGUACGUGCAGGUGUAGAGAUUCAAAGGAUUGUACGACUGGAACGUACUACGAUGAAAGCACGUGCAGUUGCAUUGGGACGUACUUUUAUUCAUGGGAGAAAAAUUAGCAAUCUAAUUUGUAAAAUUGAUCAAAAGAAAUGUGUUGUAAAGUUUGGUAUUUGUAUGCUUGAUUUUAUCAUUUUUGUAAUGUGAAAAAGUCCCCAUUCCCAAGAAACUUCAUUCACCAUUAAUCCAGGGAAGCAGACGGUCGUUGAUCGGAAACGUUUUAUACUGAAACCGAUUGCUGUUCUUCAGUCGGAAGAAUCAAAAUAUCAAACAGAUAUUAAGUAACUAACUCGGGAUAUUUCGAGUAGUAAAUUUUAUUUUAGAAAAAAGAGACAUCACAAACCUGUACAAAUGCGAUAUACCGUUUAUAGCCGUGCAAGCACAAAGAGCUGUCGUAUUAGAACUGCUAAUUCAUUUCCAUUUUGUUUUUUUUUUUUUAAACUAAGAAUGUAAAUUAUUAAAAUCAUUUUUUAGUUUUCAACGUGUGCAACUACCGAACCAAACAAAUA